UUGAAUAGUAAGAGAUUUAUUACAGCACAGGCUCUGUUCAGAUCCUAGGAGGGAGGGAGACAAGGAGCUGGAGAGCCAAAGGUGUGGUUGCAAGGAGAAUCGUGGGGAGCUGCUAUAAGAAAGAAGCGCAGGCAGUGGGGGGCCUCAGGAGUGACAGAGGAGAAGCGUGGGGAGUAGAGGAGGUUGGUGAGAGCUGGAGGAGAGAAAGGAGCAGAAGAAGCGGGAAGCUGAAGGAGUGGGAGAAAACAAGAGAGAGAUAGUGCAGAGGAGGGGAAGGAGUCAGUGGAGUGGGACAGCACUUUAAAGCAGACAGUGUGGAGAAUCGAUAGGAAAGAACAGACAUUCCAGCAUUACAAAUAAACUCACACAGAGCAAUAACCAAUGGAAUACUGCUGGUGUAGGAGCUGUGGAGGGGAAAAAGUCACAUGAUUCUGCACGCUGACCGCAUGUAAGGGAAAAUCUAACAUUGGCAUCCUCCCACUUUAUGACGUUCAAUUGUGACAGCUACAGAAGAUACAGUCGGGUUAAAGAUCUUCAAAAGGCUUUACUUGGAAAUAUAAACACAACAGUCUAUGAAAAAAUGGCAACAUGACCUAUAGUUUCAGGUCUGACCCAUCGCUUUCUGAGUUGGUCUUUAGUUCGGAGCACUCCAAAUCUACUGUUCAGACCUUCAACAACUUUGGAUCUGCACCAUGUAGACCAUUUCAGCACGGGUCAUAGCUGUAGCCCUUCUGUCUUGCUCCAUGGCCACGAGAUUGCAAACUGGCGCCAGCAACCGAUGUCACGUCACCGACGAUAUAUUCCAGAAGUGGUAACAUUCGUGCCCAAACACGACCGAUCGAUCGGCACACGAACGUUCUCUCUCGUAAACGCACUUUCAAAAUACAGAUGGCUGCUGAAAAGUUUAUGCAUCCUGACUUUUUGAGAGAAUUCAUUGAUCUUUAUAAAUCUGCAAGAGAAUAAAUCCUGCUGCAAAUGUUGACUAUGUAAAAAAUAAAAUCAUAAGAACUGUUUUUAGAAAAGAAUUUAACAAAGUGAAGUCAUCCAAAAAGUCUGGUGCCUCUGCAGAUGAUAUAUAUACCCCAAGACUA